rnacentral:rRNA from 1 species
GACGAACGCUGGCGGCGUGCUUAACACAUGCAAGUCGAACGGAAAGACCCUGCUUUUGUGGGGUGCUCGAGUGGCGAACGGGUGAGUAACACGUGAGUAACCUGCCCUUGACUUUGGGAUAACUUCAGGAAACUGGGGCUAAUACCGGAUAGGAGCUCCUGCUGCAUGGUGGGGGUUGGAAAGUUUCGGCGGUUGGGGAUGGACUCGCGGCUUAUCAGCUUGUUGGUGGGGUAGUGGCUUACCAAGGCUUUGUCGGGUAGCCGGCCUGAGAGGGUGACCGGCCACAUUGGGACUGAGAUACGGCCCAGACUCCUACGGGAGGCAGCAGUGGGGAAUAUUGCACAAUGGGCGGAAGCCUGAUGCAGCAACGCCGCGUGCGGGAUGACGGCCUUCGGGUUGUAAACCGCUUUCGCCUGUGACGAAGCGUGAGUGACGGUAAUGGGUAAAGAAGCACCGGCUAACUACGUG